UAGAAAAAACAACUCAUUAUUAAAAAUCUAACAAGUGAGCUUUGUUGCUGAAACAGAAACUGACAGUUAUCACCCAAAGUUUCCUUGUAGAGCAGCGAAAUGUACAAAGUAUUCGUAAUUAAACUGAGCCGAAAAUGAUCAAAGGCUAUGCCGUCUAGCUUAAGAAAAUAGAAACGUUUAACAGUAACAUGAAAACAAUGUCCGCUCUAGCUCGUUGGCAGUUUACACUCAUUGAAAGAACUAACAAAACAUAGAAAAUAACUUUGAUACUCACGUAAUAUUCUCCCCUCGUCUUCAUAAAAGAGCCACCACUGCAGCACACAUAUCACAACAGACGAAAUCCCCAAGGUCUCGAUGGCCAUUGAUGUUGAGAUGCUGCCUAAUGAGGAGUUGGUGAAAGGUAUGCUUGAAGCAGUUGCUGCUGCUGUCCUUGGUGUCAAAAUUCCAUAGACUCAAACAGUUACACACACAAGAAGUAUUCCAUGACAACACCAGCACCACAGACAGCAUGGAACAGCUGGACUUCACCACAGCAUUCAGCAUUUCAGCCAGUCUGCAACAAACCAUAAUCACUAUAGAAAGCACUGCAGAAUUUCAAGAUUGCCGCUGGAUAAUUAACCUAUUUGAAAAA